rfam:Flavobacterium sp. LM5 Flavobacterium_sp_LM5_contig1, whole genome shotgun sequence.
CCCUAGCCCUGAUAAUAGCGGCAUCCUUUUAUUUUUUCUUUCAAAAAAUAAAAGAUACAGCGAAAAGCAGGAUUAGCU